rnacentral:rRNA from 1 species
UGAGGAAUAUUGGUCAAUGGACGGAAGUCUGAACCAGCCAAGUAGCGUGCAGGAUGACGGCCCUAUGGGUUGUAAACUGCUUUUAUACGGGGAUAAAGUUAGUGACGUGUCCCUAUUUGCAGGUACCGUAUGAAUAAGGACCGGCUAAUUCCGUGCCAGCAGCCGCGGUAAUACGGAAGGUCCGGCCGUUAUCCGGAUUUAUUGGGUUUAAAGGGAGCGUUGGCCGUAGAUUAAGUGUGUUGUGAAAUGUAGACGCUCAACGUCUGACUUGCAGCGCAUACUGGUUUACUUGAGUUUGCACAACGUUGGCGGCAUUCGUCGUGUAGCGGUGAAAUGCUUAGAUAUGACGAAGAACUCCGAUUGCGAAGGCAGCUUGCGGGAGCAAAACUGACGCUGAAGCUCGAAAGUGCGGGUAUCGAACAGG